UGGGGAAUAUUGCGCAAUGGGGGGAACCCUGACGCAGCCAUGCCGCGUGAAUGAAGAAGGCCUUAGGGUUGUAAAGUUCUUUCGGUAUUGAGGAAGGUUGAUGUGUUAAUAGCACAUCAAAUUGACGUUAAAUACAGAAGAAGCACCGGCUAAUUCCGUGCCAGCAGCCGCGGUAAUACGGAGGGUGCGAGCGUUAAUCGGAAUAACUGGGCGUAAAGGGCACGCAGGCGGUUAUUUAAGUGAGGUGUGAAAGCCCCGGGCUUAACCUGGGAAUUGCAUUUCAGACUGGGUAACUAGAGUACUUUAGGGAGGGGUAGAAUUCCACGUGUAGCGGUGAAAUGCGUAGAGAUGUGGAGGAAUACCGAAGGCGAAGGCAGCCCCUUGGGAAUGUACUGACGCUCAUGUGCGAAAGCGUGGGGAGCAAACAGGAUUAGAUACCCUGGUAGUCCACGCUGUAAACGCUGUCGAUUUGGGGGUUGGGGUUUAACUCUGGCGCCCGUAGCUAACGUGAUAAAUCGACCGCCUGGGGAGUACGGCCGCAAGGUUA
rnacentral:rRNA from 1 species